rnacentral:lncRNA from 1 species
CUACAGAUGCUCAGAAACAAUAACCAGCAUCACAGCAGACCGAAUCAAACAAAAAACCAAAGCCUAACCAGGGAACAAAUCAACUGCAAAGCUAGCAUAAUCAAAAUUCAAGUGAUCGUCGAAAUUGGAAGCCGUUUCCCUCCACAGGAAGAACAUGAAGCGGGCCGAGAGCGAAAACUCUAACCUUGGACAUUUGAGACCUCCCAAGUGCCAUGCAUGAAAAAGCA